AGCUCCAAUAGCGUAUAUUAAAGUUGUUGCGGUUAAAAAGCUCGUAGUUGGAUUUCUGUUGAGAGCAGCCGGUCCACCUCUUGGGUGAGUAUCUGGAUUGGUCUCGGCAUCCUCUCGAAACUCGUUGCUGCGCUUGAUUGCGUGGUGCGGUGUUCGGGACUUUUACUUUGAGGAAAUUAGAGUGUUCACGGCAGGCAUACGCCUUGAAUAUAUUAGCAUGGAAUAAUACUAUAGGAUCUUGGUUCUAUUUUGUUGGUUUCUAGGGCUAAGAUAAUAAUCAAUAGGGACAAUUGGGGGCAUUCGUAUUACGGCGUCAGAGGUGAAAUUCUUGGAUUGCCGUACGACGAACUACUGCGAAAGCAUUUGCCAAGGAUGUUUUCAUUGAUCAAGAACGAAAGUA
rnacentral:rRNA from 1 species